rnacentral:lncRNA from 1 species
UACCUCAAUUACACUCGAAUAUCAUUGAUAGCCUCAAAGUAUUAUCACAUACACUCAAAAUAACAUAUAUACACCCAAAAGGUCAUUUCUAAGGUUUCAUCACACGAUGCUAUUUAUGUCAUCGUCGAGGAGAGGCGAAAUGGAUCCCCACAUCGCAUGGAUGGCACACACACGAAAUAACAGUUACGUUUGCUAGUGACCCAUAAUCACAAAUACCUAUCCACAUCUGGACUAGGUUUUAAACUCUAUCCAUGUGUAGAUUCACCGUAACCGCUGAACUUCAGACACUCACACACACACACUCCUCCUCGAUCCAAACUAAACGAGAAAGCAUCUAAGAUCCAUACACUAUUGACUCACAUCAU